CUAAUAAAUAUGCGAGUAUUUGAGUGUUAAAACUCAUAUGCGUAAUGAAAGUGAUUUUGGAGGGGAUUUUCGAUGCACCAUCCACCGAUCAAGAUUUUUUAUGAGCGUUCUGAGUCAUAGCAUAUUUAUUGGAACCUGAGAGAUGAUGAACUAGAACUAUACCUGAAUAGGGUGAAGUCAGAGGAAACCAUAAAAGGAGGCUCAUAGAGGUUCUGACGUACAAAUUGAUCAUCAAAAUUUGAAUAUAGGGGCGAAAGACUCUUGGACAUUUGAAUGAGAG
rnacentral:ncRNA from 1 species